AGACUCCCGGCUGGGAACCCGACGACUUUCACCGGAAGGAGGAGCGCUCUUCAGGGCAAUGCACCCUGCGCAAUGGAGUCCACAAAGGGCGCAUCCCUAUGCGCUUGCGCAGCUGGAGGCGCCCCCCAGCCAACCCCGGAGAGGUUUAAGUGACAUUUCUCCAUCUACAAGCCUGCCACCUCUGGUUGAAGGCCAGCUACGCUGUUUUCUAAAACUUACUGUUAAUAGAGUCAUAUGGAAGAUUGCAAAGCCUCCCACUUGUGUACUUGUCCGAGUGAGAUGGUGGGGAGAAACAUCAGAUGGAACCCUCUUUUGUCCCAGGGAUGCAUUGCAGACUGAACCAAAAGCUGUGAGAACAACUACACGUUACGCUAUUCGUUGUGGUCCAAAACAGUUUACCUCUUAUCUAACAGGUAUGUUAUUGUUUUAUCAUUGCACCUGCAGACGUAAUACAAAGCAUGUGGUUAUAUUGUCAGCAAUAAGUGUUGUUGUGUACCUAGCAUAUAUGGGCAUUCUUAAUUAUU
rnacentral:lncRNA from 1 species